ACUGUUGAGAUUGAGGCUGUACUGUCUGUUUUCACUACAGAAGUCUUGGGUGUCAGAGUUGGUAGGAGAGCAAAUGAGAGGUAAGGUGGGUUGGACUGUAGCAUGGUAACACUGGCAGUGAGGGUUGGGCCAAUAGGAAGACCACAUAGAAAGGUGGGUUGGACUGUAGCAUGGUAACACUAGCAGUGAGGGUUGGGCCAAUAGGAAGACCACAUAGAAAGGUGGGUUGGACUGUAGCAUGGUAACACUAGCAGUGAGGGUUGGGCCAAUAGGAAGACCACAUAGAAAGGUGGGUUGGACUGUAGCAUGGUAACACUGGCAGUGAGGGUUGGGCCAAUAGGAAGACCACAUAGAAAGGUGGGUUGGACUGUAGCAUGGUAACACUAGCAGUGAGGGUUGGGCCAAUAGGAAGACCACAUAGAAAGGUGGGUUGGACUGUAGCAUGGUAACACUAGCAGUGAGGGUUGGGCCAAUAGGAAGACCACAUAGAAAGGUGGGUUGGACUGUAGCAUGGUAACACUAGCAGUGAGGGUUGGGCCAAUAGGAAGACCACAUAGAAAGGUGGGUUGGACUGUAGCAUGGUAACACUGGC